rnacentral:rRNA from 1 species
GUGUCAGCCGCCGCGGUAAAACGUAGGACACGAGCGUUAUCCGGAGUUACUGGGCGUAAAGGGCGGGUAGGCGGUGGCAUAAGUCUGGUGUGAAAGCUCCCGGCUCAACCGGGAGAGGACACUGGCGACUGUGGCACUAGAGGCAGAUAGAGGGGUGUAGAAUUCCGGGUGUAGUGGUGAAAUGCGUAGAGAUCCGGAGGAAUACCAGAAGCGAAGGCGGCACCCUGGGUCUGACCUGACGCUGAGCCGCGACAGCAUGGGGAGCGAACGGGAUUAGAUACCCCCGUAGUCC